UGGCCUUCUGGGCUGCUUUCUGUUUUUUAAAUCAUCCGUCGGUAGAACUUUGCAUGAUGUCAAGUCUUCUGAUUUGGAGACAUCCAUGGACAUCCACAGACAUGAAGGUGUGAGUUAGACCCAGCUGGCUCCUUGGAAAUGCAUGUGUAUGGGCAAAGCCAGCAUGUAUGCUAGGGUGGCUGAUGCUGCACCUCCCGCUUCGGCUUAUCUUGAACUUUGCCACAGGAGACCCAUUAGGGUUGCAUCUUUACAUCCAAGUCUGGUUUCACAGAGUCACAGAAUCAUAGGGGUUGGAAAAUCACUGGCAAAGCAAGGAUGACCCAUGAAAGAUGUCUUGUUUUGCAUUGGUAAAGGCAUACGUUAUAAUUAAAGCAUGUGUAUGUGCAUAAGAAAUAUACAUGCUGAAAAAGGCCAAUUUAAGGAUGCACGUGUAAUGAUUCUUU
ensembl:lncRNA